rnacentral:rRNA from 1 species
GUGGGGAAUAUUGCACAAUGGGCGCAAGCCUGAUGCAGCCAUGCCGCGUGUAUGAAGAAGGCCUUCGGGUUGUAAAGUACUUUCAGCGGGGAGGAAGGCGAUAAGGUUAAUAACCUUGUCGAUUGACGUUACCCGCAGAAGAAGCACCGGCUAACUCCGUGCCAGCAGCCGCGGUAAUACGGAGGGUGCAAGCGUUAAUCGGAAUUACUGGGCGUAAAGCGCACGCAGGCGGUCUGUCGAGUCGGAUGUGAAAUCCCCGGGCUCAACCUGGGAAGUGCAUUCGAAACUGGCAGGCUAGAGUCUUGUAGAGGGGGGUAGAAUUCCAGGUGUAGCGGUGAAAUGCGUAGAGAUCUGGAGGAAUACCGGUGGCGAAGGCGGCCCCCUGGACAAAGACUGACGCUCAGGCACGAAAGCGUGGGGAGCAAACAGGAUUAGAAACCCUUGUAGUCC